AGUGCUCCUGCUGACCUUCCGUGUCUGCAGCCCGGCUUUGGACUGUGGAGAUGCCCUCAGCCUCUACUCAGUGGCUCCAGCCUCAUAUUUGCGUGCUAUACCUUUAACCUCAAGUCCUCUUGCUGCUAACUUAAGCUGCGACUGUCCAGGACCUGCACACACACACACAUGCACGCAUGCACACACACACACACAGAAGGUGAACACACAGGAUGAGGCCCUGAAAACUCAUUUCACCCGUGUACCUCACCCAAAAAUUCCCCUUUGUACUCCUAUCUUUAUCUCUAACUGACAGCAUGAAGGUAGCCCGAAGUCCCCUCACCCUGUCUGUCCUCCUGAUUCUCUAGCCCAGUUCCCUCUAGCUCCAGCACAGACUCUUAUCUCCAGCCCUGACUGCCGAAACCCUCCAGCCCCAGCUCCAGCCCCUCAGGAGGGGACUGCGUGGGAGGAAUGACUCCAGCAAGCCGGCAGCUGACCCGUCUCCUGCCUGCACGCCUCCCGCUGUGGUCCACUGCCGGUGGUCUUCAGCUCUCUCCUCGUCCCACCCCCAUGGUCUGCUGACAGCCCAGCUCAGUGCAUCCCUGCCAUCUCUGCUCUACCGCUGGUCCUCCCAACAACCAACUUACAGGGUUUCACUCCCGUCACCCAGACUGGAGUACAAUGGUGCGAUCUCAGCUCACUGCAACCUCUGCCUCCUGGGCUUAAGCGAUUCUCCUGCCUUGGCCUCCCAAGUAGCUGGGAUUACAGGUGCCUGCCACCACUCCUGGCUAAUUUUUGUAUUUUUUGUAAAGGCGGAGUUUCUCCAUGUUGCCCAGGCUAGUCUCAAACUCCUGAGCUCAAGCAAUCCACCCGCCUCGGCCUCCCAAAUAAGUGGAAUUAUAGGUGUGAGCCACCACGCCGGCCCUGAUGUAUCAAUAUUAAAACAUUUUCUUCAGCCUACAAGUUCUUCUUUUUCUUAUUUGGAUGCAAACUAAAACAUUUUGUGGGCCCUUAGAUUGAACAUUCUCAUGGGUCCUGUGCCUCCUGUGCGUCAUGGAGAAGGCAGCCCUGCAUGGCUCUCACAUCCUCUUCCCCCACGCAAAUGCUGCCACCUCCCCAGCCUCCAUCUCCAGCCCGGAGCUCAAGAACAAGUGGUCCAGCCUCCUCUCUUGUUAUCUCGUAUGUGUAACAAGCACAUUACCUUCACCUGCCCCAACCCAACCUCACCUCCCCACAGUCUGCCCCCUUCCCAAGGGCCUAGCCCAAGGAAUGCUCCUCCCCACCACAUCUC
rnacentral:lncRNA from 10 species